rnacentral:rRNA from 1 species
CCUACGGGAGGCAGCAGUGGGGGAUAUUGCACAAUGGGGGGAACCCUGAUGCAGCGACGCCGCGUGGGUGAAGGAGCGUUUCGGCGCGUAAAGCCCUAUCGGCAAGGAAGAUAAUGACGGUACUUGCGGAGGAAGCCCCGGCUAACUACGUGCCAGCAGCCGCGGUAAUACGUAGGGGGCUAGCGUUAUCCGGAAUUACUGGGCGUAAAGGGUGCGUAGGUGGUUUCUUAAGUCAGAGGUGAAAGGCUACGGCUAAACCGUAGUAAGCCUUUGAAACUGGGGAACGUGAGUGCAGGAGAGGAGAGUGGAAUUCCUAGUGUAGCGGUGAAAUGCGUAGAUAUUAGGAGGAACACCAGUUGCGAAGGCGGCUCUCUGGACUGUAACUGACACUGAGGCACGAAAGCGUGGGGAGCAAACAGGAUUAGAUACCCUUGUAGUC